AGUGGGGGAUAACUAGUCGAAAGAUUAGCUAAUACCGCAUAAGACCACGAGAACUGAGGUUCAUGAGGUCAAAGGAGCAAUUCGCUCGAAGAUGAGCCCGCGUAAGAUUAGCUAGUUGGUGAGGUAACGGCUCACCAAGGCUGUGAUCUUUAACUGGUCUGAGAGGAUGAUCAGUCACACUGGAACUGAGACACGGUCCAGACUCCUACGGGAGGCAGCAGUAGGGAAUAUUGCGCAAUGGGCGAAAGCCUGACGCAGCGACGCCGCGUGAGUGAUGAAGGCCUUCGGGUCGUAAAGCUCUGUUGCAGGGGAAUAAAAAAAUGAAGGUACCCUGUGAGGAAGGAUCGGCUAACUUCGUGCCAGCAGCCGCGGUAAGACGAGGGAUCCUAGCGUUGCUCGGAAUCAUUGGGCGUAAAGAGGGCGUAGGUGGCUUGGUAAGUCAGGUGUGAAAGCCCAGGGCUCAACCCUGGAAGUGCAUUUGAUACUACUGAGCUUGAGUGUUAGAGAGGUUACCGGAAUACCUGGUGUAGUGGUGAAAUACGUAGAUAUCAGGUGGAACACCGGAGGCGAAGGCGGGUAACUGGCUAAACACUGACACUGAGGCCCGAAAGCGUGGGGAUCAAACAGGAUUAGAUA
rnacentral:rRNA from 1 species